rnacentral:rRNA from 1 species
UCGGGAAUUUUGGGCAAUGGGGGAAACCCUGACCCAGCAACGCCGCGUGAAGGAUGAAGUAUUUCGGUAUGUAAACUUCGAAAGAAUAGGAAGAAUAAAUGACGGUACUAUUUAUAAGGUCCGGCUAACUACGUGCCAGCAGCCGCGGUAAUACGUAGGGACCAAGCGUUGUUCGGAUUUACUGGGCGUAAAGGGCGCGUAGGCGGUGUGUCAAGUCAGUUGUGAAAUCUCCGAGCUUAACUCGGAACGGUCAACUGAUACUGUCACACUAGAGUACAGAAGGGGCAAUCGGAAUUCUUGGUGUAGCGGUGAAAUGCGUAGAUAUCAAGAGGAACACCUGAGGCGAAGGCGGGUUGCUGGGCUGAUACUGACGCCGAGGCGCGAAAGCUAGGGUAGCAAACGGGAUUAGAUACCCCCGUAGUCCCUGAGCGGGCUGGCAAGGCGCAU